GGAUGUGAGGGUAAUCUGGCUGUGACAUCUGUCACCCCAUUGAUUGCCAGGAUUGUUUCAUCUGAUCUGGCUGGCUAGGCAGCUGUCUGCUUCCUCCUUAACCUCUCCAUGUGUGUCCCUGUAGAAGUUGUGCACUUGGUAAGGGGAUGACCAUCCCCCAUAGAGGAGGACGAGUAUUUAGUCAAGGGCAUACCAGUAGCUGUGCUCCCCUGCUAGAACCUCCAAACAAGCUCUAAAGUGUAAGUAACAUGUAUGUGUUUUUGUAUAUACACAUAUGUACAUACAUUUUUCAGUACUUAUGU
rnacentral:snRNA from 1 species